UACGUAGGGUGCAAGCGUUGUCCGGAAUUAUUGGGCGUAAAGAGCUCGUAGGCGGUUUGUCGCGUCUGCUGUGAACACGAGGCUCAACCUCGGGCCUGCAGUGGGUACGGGCAGACUAGAGUGCGGUAGGGGAGAUUGGAAUUCCUGGUGUAGCGGUGAAAUGCGCAGAUAUCAGGAGGAACACCGGUGGCGAAGGCGGGUCUCUGGGCCGUAACUGACGCUGAGGAGCGAAAGCGUGGGGAGCGAACAGG
rnacentral:rRNA from 1 species